rnacentral:rRNA from 1 species
GUUGAGAUCAGGUCUGAGAAAAGAUAAUAGUUACAACUUUCAGACAACGGAUCUCUUGUGUUCUGGCAUCGAUGAAGAAGCAGGAAAUGCGAUAAGUAGUGUGAAUUGAGAAUCAGUGAAUCAUCGAAUCUUGAAGCGCACAUUGCGCCCCAUUGUGUAUUACCAUGGGGCAUGCCUGUUCGAGCGUCAUUCUGUACCUUCAAGCUUUGCUUGGUGUUGGGUGUUUGUCUCGCCUUUGACGUGUAGACUCGCCUUAAAAGAAUUGGCAGCCGGCGUAUUNGAUUUCGGAGCGCAGUACAUCUCGCUGCUUUUGCACUCAUAACGACGACGUCCAAAACAGUACAUUUUUUACACUCUUGACCUCGGAUCAGGUAGGGAUACCCGCUGAAACUUAAGCAUAUCAAUAAGCGGAGGA